rnacentral:lncRNA from 1 species
CAAAAAACAGCAAGAACAUCUCCAAGAAUGCAGUAAAGAACAGCAUCAUUAGCCAAUGGGGGUGAGCUUUUAAGAGUGGCUGGCAGAGGGCCUGGAGACAGCAAUGCAAAGCCAGAGCCUGAGCUUCUUUAAAGGCUGCCUCGGCCGGCGCGCCCCCGCCCCCGCACUCACCUGGCCUGUGAUACCGGUGAUGAGCGCCACGUUCCUGGGCUUGCCCAUCUCGCACAGAUGCCACACAGACUGUACCUAGUGCUGAGUGGAGCCUAUGUGGAAGGGCUGCAGGGUUCAGCUAGAAGUAUCCACUGGGGCAAAGCUAGUGUUGGAAAGAUCCUGGUCUGGCAGCAGAAUGGGCAUCAACGUUGUAAGACUGCAUGUAGCAGGGGGUGGCUGGAUCACCUGGAGCCCAGGGACAAGCCUCGGCACAUACGUUUCUGGCACAUUACUUGGACCUGAUGGUAAACUCAUUGCUUUGUCACAAGGCACUGGGAGGUUAUC